AUGUCUAAGUACAUGCCGUAAUAAGGCGAAACCGCGAAUGGCUCAUUAAAUCAGUCAUGGUUCCUUGGAUCGUACCUUACUACUUGGAUAACUGUGGCAAUUCUAGAGCUAAUACAUGCAGCAGGGCUCCGACCUUCGGGGACGAGCGCUUUUAUUAGACCAAAACCAAUCGGACCUAGUGUCCGUCUCUUGUGGUGACUCUGUAUAACUUUGGGCUGAUCGCACGGGCCUGUCCCGGCGACGUAUCUUUCAAGUGUCUGCCUUAUCAACUUUCGAUGGUAGGUUACGCGCCUACCAUGGUCGUAACGGGUAACGGGGAAUCAGGGUUCGAUUCCGGAGAGGGAGCCUGAGAAACGGCUACCACAUCCAAGGAAGGCAGCAGGCGCGCAAAUUACCCACUCCCGGAACGGGGAGGUAGUGACGAAAAAUAACAAUACGGGACUCUUUUGAGACCCCGUAAUUGGAAUGAGUACACUCUAAAUCCUUUAACGAGGAUCCAUUGGAGGGUAAGUCUGGUGCCAGCAACCGCGGUAAUUCCAGCUCCAAUAGCGUAUAUUAAAGUUGUUGCGGUUAAAAAGCUCGUAGUUGGAUCUCAGUUCCAGACGGGUGGUCCGCCUACCGGUGGUUACUGCCUGUUCUGAACAGUCAGCCGGUUUCUCUUGAUGAUCUUCACCGGUUGUCUUGGGUGACCGGCAAGUUUACUUUGAAAAAAUUAGAGUGCUCAAAGCAGGCGUGACGCCUGAAUAAUGGUGCAUGGAAUAAUGGAAUAGGACCUCGGUUCUAUUUUGUUGGUUUUCGGAACACGAGGUAAUGAUUAAGAGGGACAGACGGGGGCAUUCGUAUUGCGACGCU
rnacentral:rRNA from 1 species